CAACCGGGAUUGCCUCAGUAACGGCGAGUGAAGCGGCAAGAGCUCAAAUUUGAAAUCUGGCCCCUCCGGGGUCCGAGUUGUAAUUUGCAGAGGAUGCUUCGGGUGCGGCCCCUGUCUAAGUGCCCUGGAACGGGCCGUCAGAGAGGGUGAGAAUCCCGUCUUGGGCAGGGUGCCCGUGCCCGUGUGAAGCUCCUUCGACGAGUCGAGUUGUUUGGGAAUGCAGCUCAAAAUGGGUGGUAAAUUUCAUCUAAAGCUAAAUACCGGCCGGAGACCGAUAGCGCACAAGUAGAGUGAUCGAAAGAUGAAAAGCACUUUGAAAAGAGAGUUAAACAGCACGUGAAAUUGUUGAAAGGGAAGCGCUUGCAACCAGACUCGGCCUCGGGGUUCAGCCAGCAUUCGUGCUGGUGUACUUCCCCGGGGCCGGGCCAGCGUCGGUUUGGGCGGCCGGUCAAAGGCCCCAGGAAUGUAUCGUCCUCCGGGACGUCUUAUAGCCUGGGGUGCAAUGCGGCCAGCCUGGACCGAGGAACGCGCUUCGGCACGGACGCUGGCGUAAUGGUCGCAAACGACCCGUCUUGAAACACGGACCAAGGAGUCUAACAUCUACGCGAGUGUUCGGGUGUCAAACCCGUACGCGCAGUGAAAGCGAACGGAGGUGGGAGCCCCCCCGGGGCGCACCAUCGACCGAUCCUGAUGUCUUCGGAUGGAUUUGAGUACGAGCGUAGCUGUGGGGACCCGAAAGAUGGUGAACUAUGCCUGAAUAGGGUGAAGCCAGAGGAAACUCUGGUGGAGGCUCGCAGCGGUUCUGACGUGCAAAUCGAUCGUCAAAUUUGGGUAUAGGGGCGAAAGACUUUUUCGAACCAUCUA
rnacentral:rRNA from 1 species